GAAAAUUUUUGUUCAUAUCUUAAAAAUUUCUCCAUGAUCAUGUCCUUAUCAAAGCAUUUGCACUGCUUCCUCUUCUACCUUUCAACCAUGCUAGGCAUUUCUCAAUACUUGGCAUCCGGUUUAUACCAAAUAAACCGAAUUCCGAGCCUUUUCAAUAUAAUUGAUGCACUUUUUACCUUUUACUUCAGGUUGUGUGGUCUUAAAUCGAUUUCCAUUGAUAUAGAUGAACAAACCACUGUACGUUUUUGGACCCCAAUUUACAGGAGGUUCUAUAAGCCUAAUCUAGUCAUAAUCCAUGGCUCUGGUGGCGAUACAAGGUGGCAAUUUCUCCAGCAGGUGGGUUAUCUUUCGCGAAACUUUAACCUUUACUUGCCAGAUUUAUUGUUCUUUGGCAAUUCUUAUUCCAAGCAGCAGGACAGGAGCUAUGUGUUUCAAGCGAAGCAGAUGGUACAAGGAUUGAAAAGGUUGAAUUUGGAUAGGUUUUCUGUGUAUGCGGUUAGCUAUGGAGCGUAUGUGGCCUAUUGGAUGGCUGAGAUGUGUCCAAGACAGAUGGAGAAGCUUGUGAUUGUGAGCAGUGGAAUAGGGUGGAAUAAUAUGGAAGAAAGAGAAAAGCAGAUUAGGCUUGUUGGGAGGAGUCCAAAAGAGUUGUUUAUGCCAGCAACUCCACAUGAUCUGCGACUUUUAGGAAACGUAACACUAUGUAGAGGCAAUCUUUUGAAUUGGGUUCCUGAAUUUCUUCUUCAACGUUAUCUCAAUGAAAUAAGUAAUGUGAACAGGAAGGAGAAAUUAGAGCUAAUAGAUCAUGUGUUGGCUAACAAGGAGGAUAACUUUCCCAUUAUAACCCAGGAAACACUCAUAAUAUGGGGUGACCAGGAUAAAAUCUUCCCACCAUUUUUGGCCUAUCGGUUACAAAGGCACCUUGGAUCAAAGGCGAGAGUAGAAAUAAUCAAGGACACUGGCCAUGCUGUAUAUAUAGAAGCUCCUGGUGAUUUGAAUCGUUUAAUAACAACAUUUAUUUUAGGUCACUGUUAACUGUAUUUUUAAAGUUAUAAAUUCAAGAUUGAAGCUUGAUUAAUCCCAUUUAUAUAAUUUUCUAUCAAGAGUGGGAUAUAAUUCAUGUAAUUUUGAGGUAUUAUCAAUUAAUAAAGAUAAAUGAAAUAUA
rnacentral:misc_RNA from 1 species